AAUUGAUAUCAGUUUUGGAAAAAGGGAAACGGGGAUGUGAAAAAAAAGGGGGGGGGGGUUAAAUUUUUCUCAUUUCAGAUUUCAUAAAUAAAAAAGAAAAUUUCUUCAAACAUUUUUUUGAGAGGAUUAAUAUUCAACAGCAUAGUGAAUUGCUCAAAGGCAAAAAAAAACUUUUAAGUUCAUUAGACCACAUUCAUUCUGUGUCAGAAACCUAUGCUGUGUCAACUAUUUAAUUUUAGAUUUAAAAAGUUUGAAGAAGAAAUCUUUAAUUGUUUUGUAAAAUCUUGACAUUUGUUUUGUGUAAAAAAAAACCAUGUAAUGUCAAAAAUUUGAUCACAAUCCAAAUUCAGAGCUGUAUCACGCUUGAAUGUUUUGUCCAUUCUUGCCCCAACUGUUCAGGGUUCGACCUCUGCGGUCGUAUAAAGCUGCGCCCUGCGGAGCACCUGGUUAAGUUUAU
rnacentral:lncRNA from 1 species